rnacentral:rRNA from 1 species
UAUCUGGUUGAUCCUGCCAGUAGUCAUAUGCUUGUCUCAAAGAUUAAGCCAUGCAUGUCUAAGUACAAACCUUAAUACGGUGAAACCGCGAAUGGCUCAUUAAAUCAGCUAUGGUUCCUUAGAUCGUCUCAUCCUACUCGGAUAACUGUGGAAAAUCUAGAGCUAAUACGUGCUUACAAGCCCUGACCUCACGGGAGGGGCGCAUUUAUUAGAUCAAAACCAAUCGGGGCUUGCCCCGUCUGCUUGGUGACUCUGGAUAACUUUUGUGCUGAUCGCAUGGCCUCUGCGCUGGCGACGUAUCUUUCAAGUGUCUGCCCUAUCAACUUACGAUGGUAGGUGAUAUGCCUACCAUGGUUAUAACGGGUAACGGGGAAUCAGGGUUCGAUUCCGGAGAGGGAGCCUGAGAAACGGCUACCACAUCUAAGGAAGGCAGCAGGCGCGCAAAUUACCCACUCCCGGCACGGGGAGGUAGUGACGAAAAAUAACGAUACGGGACUCUUUUGAGGCCCCGUAAUUGGAAUGAGUACACUUUAAAUCCGUUAACAAGUAUCUAUUGGAGGGCAAGUCUGGUGCCAGCAGCCGCGGUAAUUCCAGCUCCAAUAGCGUAUAUUAAUGUUGCUGCAGUUAAAAAGCUCGUAGUUGGAUCUGAGGACUCGAAUUGGUGGUGCACCAUACGGUGUUACUGCCGAUUCGGCCUACCUAGUCGGUGCUCGCUCUUGGUGUUCUUAAUUGAAUGCCCUGAGUGCCCGGCAAGUUUACUUUGAAAAAAUUAGAGUGCUCAAAGCAGGCCAUUAGCCGGAAUACUUCAGCAUGGAAUAAUGGAAUAGGACUUCGGUUCUAUUUUGUUGGUUUUCGGAACCCGAGGUAAUGAUUAAGAGAGACAGACGGGGGCAUUCGUACUGCGGUGUUAGAGGUGAAAUUCUUGGAUCGCCGCAAGACGAACAACUGCGAAAGCAUUUGCCAAGAAUGUUUUCAUUAAUCAAGAACGAAAGUCAGAGGUUCGAAGACGAUCAGAUACCGUCCUAGUUCUGACCAUAAACGAUGCCAACUGGCGAUCCGAGAUCGUUUGCUUAUUGACCUCUCGGGCAGCCUCCGGGAAACCAAAGUUUUUAGGUUCCGGGGGAAGUAUGGUUGCAAAGCUGGAAACUGUUCAAUUGCAACUCUGCCUGUGACACCAAGUGGUCGGGUUACUUGGUCUGUUCUGGCCCGGAGUCGGUAGGGUUUCCGGCCUUGUGCUCUUUCCUUACUGUUCUCUGUAACGCCGAAGGCGGGGCUUCCACGGUGGGGAAGCGGUUGUACAAAUCCGGCAAAUCCAGCCAAAUGGGUUCCGGACUCUGUCCAACCUGCAACUGGUAACAGCCUCGGCUGGCUAACAUUUGAGCUGGGACUCGCUUGGAGGAGCGAGGAUAAUAUAAACCUCUAUGUGACUGAGGUGAGGAAUCUGGUUCUCGUAAAAUGGCUGGAGAUCCCGAGCCUGUAAGUCAUAAAUUAGUUCCCCCACGAGGAGGUGUCGAAUUGAAGCCAGUGCGUGCCCUUACUAGUUUAAGGGAUUGUAUACUUCCUUUGGUGUACCCACCUGGAAGUGCCCAAGGGGUCCUAUCCCUGCACUCCAACCCCGAUUGGAGUCAGGUGACGGCUCCUUACCUCACCAGACGCGGCCGGACCCCGGAAGGGGUCUGGGCCCCGAAGCCUGACGGCGUCGGGGUGCAGGAAGCCUCUAGGCGACCAGCCCAGCCGUGCAGAAAUGCAGUAGGCCUUUAUCUGGCUAUUAACGGUAAAUUCACCGGGCCAGUGUCUGACCGAGGUUUUGUGGCACCUAACUAGGCAAGAGGGUGGACCAGGCAGGGGCGUUGUAUCCGAAAGGUCGCCGUCUCCCUCCGUUUUGCCUGGCUCCGCAAGGGGCGUGUCUACGUCUCCUGCUGUGGGACUCGCCGUCUCCUGUUCUCAGUUGACGGGCCAGCAGCCUAACGGCGGCUGGUUGUGGCGACCUACCGGAAGCUACACGAGAGCGGGCCUAAAGGCCCGCCCCGCAGUUGGGGGGCGGAGACCGCCGCCCCCCAAACCCCCCACGGUACACUAAAGGAAUUGACGGAAGGGCACCACCAGGAGUGGAGCCUGCGGCUUAAUUUGACUCAACACGGGAAAACUCACCCGGCCCGGACACUGUUAGGAUUGACAGAUUGAGAGCUCUUUCUUGAUUCGGUGGGUGGUGGUGCAUGGCCGUUCUUAGUUGGUGGAGCGAUUUGUCUGGUUAAUUCCGAUAACGAACGAGACUCUAGCCUGCUAAAUAGUACGCCGAUACCUUUUCGUCGGUGCUGACUUCUUAGAGGGACAAGCGUCUUGAAGACGCACGAGAUUGAGCAAUAACAGGUCUGUGAUGCCCUUAGAUGUUCGGGGCCGCACGCGCGCUACACACUGAAGGGGACAGCGAGUUUUUCCUGGUUCGAAAGAACCGGGUAAUCUGUUGAAUUCCCUUCGUGACAGGGAUCGGGGCUUGCAAUUAUUCCCCGUGAACGAGGAAUUCCCAGUAAGCGCAAGUCAUCAGCUUGCGUUGAUUACGUCCCUGCCCUUUGUACACACCGCCCGCCCGUCGCUACUACCGAUUGAAUGGUUUAGCAAGGUCCUCGGAUUGGUGCCGACUUGGUGGCAACACUAGGUCGGAUACUGAAAAGAAGAUCAAACUUGAUCAUUUAGAGGAAGUAAAAGUCGUAACAAGGUUUCCGUAGGUGAACCUGCGGAAGGAUCAUUA